UUUCUGUGUAGACCAGGAUGGCUUUGACUUCUGGCAGGGUAUCUCCUUCAGCCUCCUGAAUGCUCAGAUUAGAGGAACGAGCUACCAAUACCUAGAUCUGACCCAAAUUCAAUUUUAGUGACAAAGAAGAGAUAUGGGAUCUUACAAUAUUACCCUGGGGAGGCUUGAACUCAUGGACCAAGUUAUCCUUCUGUCUCAGCUCCCUGAGUACCAAGUAUUUAGGAGUGCACUACUGUGCCCAGCAGUUAGUUUUGGUUUUAAAAUGCUGAAUUGUGGGGCUGGAAGGUGGCUCAGCGAUUACGAGGACUAGAUAUUCUUCCAGAGCACCUGGGUGGAGUUCCCAGCAUCCACCAGAUCUCACAACCCCUUGACCUUCAGAGUCUGGGGAUAGGACACCCUCUUCCGGCCUCCUUGGACACUGCACACAUAUGGUGCCCAGACAUCCAUGCAGGCAAAAGCAUUCAUACAUGUAACAGUAAUAAAUAAAAUGUUCAAAAGUUAAAAUGGUGCAUUAUUCAGCAAUACAUAUACUAUAUGGUUAGUGAACUUGAAGCUAAUAUCACUGGAAGUAAGCCUUUUUGGUGAGAUGUAAAGAUGUCGAUGUGUAUAUAGUCAUAUGUACGUAUGGUUUUUUUGAGACAGGAUCUCACUAAAACUUAUCAUAUAGACUGGGCUGGCCUUAGACUUACAGAGAUCCUCAGCCUCUAUUUCCUGAAUGCUGGGAUGAAAGACAUGUGCCAUUAAGGUGCCCCCCUCACUCUCCCCCCUUCUUUUUGUUGUUUUUUUUUUUUUUUUUUUUUUUUUAAGACAAGGUAGCCUGAAACUUGGUAUGUAGGUUAGACUGGCUUCUAACUCAAAGAGAUCCACCUGCUUCUACCUCCCAAGUGCUGGCAUUAAAGGCGUGUAACCCUGUGUCUGGCUGCUACUGCUUUUUAAAAUUCAUUAUGAGAAAUUAUAAACUUAUAAGUAUUACUAUCUAUAUAAGCUACUAUUAUUCAUGGUUAGUUAUUAUUUUCUUAUUGCUAUAAUAAUAAACAUUUUUAUUUGCUUUUCC
rnacentral:lncRNA from 1 species